rnacentral:rRNA from 1 species
CCUACGGGAGGCAGCAGUGAGGAAUAUUGGUCAAUGGGCGAGAGCCUGAACCAGCCAAGUCGCGUGAGGGAGUACUGCCCUAUGGGUUGUAAACCUCUUUUGUCGGGGAGCAAAAGCCGGUCGUGUUAGGCUGUGAGAGUACCCGAAGAAAAAGCAUAGGCUAACACCGUGCAAGCAGACGCGGUAAUAUGAAGGAUGCGGGCGUUAUCUGGAUCUAUUGGGUUUAAGGGGUGAGCAGGCGGAGUUUUAAGUCAGCGGUAAAAUCGUGGGGCUCAACCCCAUCCUGCCGUUGAAACUGGGGAUCUAGAGUGUGCGAGAGGAAUGUGGAAUGCGUGGUGUAGCGGUGAAAUGCAUAGAUAUCACGCAGAACCCCGAUUGCGAAGGCAGCAUACCGGUGCACAACUGACGCUCAGGCACGAAAGCGUGGGUAUCGAACAGGAUUAGAUACCCGUGUAGUC